ensembl:ncRNA lncRNA:CR46001 long non-coding RNA:CR46001
AGUAAUCAUAAACACAAAAUUCAACAUAAUUGAUUAGAUUCAACAGUCCAUAAAUAAACAAACAUAUCUAAAAUCAGGCCAAUAAAACAAUAAAUAAAGCCUAUUGCCACUCGAUGAGUUUAACGAUGUCGUGCUGCCGCUCUGCACCCUUUCCCAUCAUUCACACCUAACCGCUCAAUUGUCUGUGCCGAAGGAAUCCCACACAGCGCACCCCUCCCAACCAAUCUAUAGAUACAGAUACUCCAUAUAGCACUACCAUCUACCAUAUCUACCACGCUGUCAGAGGAGCGUGCGCUCUAAUGCGCUUCACAUAACAUUUUGAUCAUUUUAUGAUCUGUCGAUUAGCCAC